AAUUUAAAUAGUUUAAAAAAAAUUUUGAUUUGUGGUAUCAAAGAUGCAUUAAAAAGUGUUUUAAGUC
rnacentral:tRNA from 1 species